rnacentral:rRNA from 1 species
GAUGAACGCUGGCGGCGUGCCUAAUACAUGCAAGUCGAGCGAACAGACGAGGAGCUUGCUCCUCUUACGUUAGCGGCGGACGGGUGAGUAACACGUGGAUAACCUACCUAUAAGACUGGGAUAACUUCGGGAAACCGGAGCUAAUACCGGAUAAUAUAUUGAACCGCAUGGUUCAAUAGUGAAAGACGGUUUUGCUGUCACUUAUAGAUGGAUCCGCGCCGCAUUAGCUAGUUGGUAAGGUAACGGCUUACCAAGGCAACGAUGCGUAGCCGACCUGAGAGGGUGAUCGGCCACACUGGAAAUGAGACACGGUCCAGACUCCUACGGGAGGCAGCAGUAGGGAAUCUUCCGCAAUGGGCGAAAGCUUGACGGAGCAAAGCCGCGUGAGUGAUGAAGGUAUUCGGAUCGUAAAAAUCUGUUAUUAGGGAAGAACAAAUGUGUAAGUAACUAUGCACGUCUUGACGGUACAUAAUCAGAAAGCAACGGCUAACUACGUG